rnacentral:rRNA from 1 species
CACGUAGGGGUGCGAGCGUUGUCCGGAAUUAUUGGGCGUAAAGAGCUCGUAGGCGGUGUGUCGCGUCGGCCGUGAAAACCUGCAGCUUAGCUGUGGGCUUGCGGUCGAUACGGGCAUCACUGGAGUUCGGCAGGGGAGACUGGAAUUCCUGGUGUAGCGGUGAAAUGCGUAGAUAUCGAGAGGAACACCUGCGGCGAAGGCGGGUUGCUGGGCUGACACUGACGUGAUGU